UACGUAGGGGGCAAGCGUUGUCCGGAUUUACUGGGCGUAAAGAGCGCGUAGGCGGAAAUUUAAGCGUAGCCUGAAAGCCCCCGGCUCAACCGGGGAGUGCGGCUGCGAACUGGGUUUCUUGAGGACGAUAGAGGAGAGUGGAAUUCCUGGUGUAGCGGUGAAAUGCGUAGAUAUCAGGAGGAACACCCGAGGCGAAGGCGGCUCUCUGGGUCGUACCCGACGCUGAGGUGCGAAAGCGUGGGGAGCAAACAGG
rnacentral:rRNA from 1 species